AGCAGGGACAGAAGGGCUGGCAAGGGAGGGUCCAGGGCUAGGGGAUUCGGAGUGGCUUCAGGCGGACCACGUGGCUACCUUUUUUCCAGGGCCAGACUUUGGCAGCGUGUAAGGUCUGAGGACAGGGGCACCGGAGGCCGAGGAUGAGAGGCCAGUGCCUGUUUCCAGGCAGCCAGGGCCUCAGAAACUCCGGCCGGAGCACUCACCCGUCGGUGGAGGCCGUUACCAGGGCCACCUUAUUCGCGAGCGGGUCCCGGCGGGUCAUCCCGGAGCUGGCCAUCCGCACCGAAUUCCAAGCCCGGGCACAGAGGCCUAGCAGCCCCGUCUUGUGCAUGGCUCAGACCAGCAAGUAUGGGUUCCACUCUUCCCAGGGGCGGUGACAGAGAGUAGGGCGAGGGGCAGGACGAAGGGCGGGCCGCUUCCCUGCCCGCCCUGCUCCCCGCCCCGGUACCGAUGUGAGCGGUCUGUGGCCCUGGGCGCCUCCAUCCGCCGCGGCGCCCCUCCACCAUCUACCUUCCGCCUGACUGGGGCUUGCCUUCCCGGGCUGGCGGGUGCCACUUCGGAUAAACCCUUUGGACUCCUAACUCCAAUCAGGUGUCUGCUUUGUUGAGGACUCACAGACACAGUCUCCUUUCUUCAAGAUCUUUACAAUGCAAGACCUCACUAACACACAGGGGAUGGUCUCCCAGAGGGUCUGUGCUGUUCCUUCACUCAGAACAUCAAGAUGCACUUAAGUAAGGAUCCUCUGUUCUACGGUUCCUGCUAGCUGAGCUAUUCCAUGGGGGCUUCAGCAGGAAAUUCCAAGGUUGGCUUUGACAAGCUAAGGCCGGCUGGUGGAGCACAUCGAGUUCUGGAGGUUCAUGUGUGUUUUCAUGAAGAUCUGUCUGCCAGUAGCAGAUAAAGAGUUGUUGCCCCACUCCUCCUGGGGUCUUCUAUUUUCCUGGGAGGAAUUUCUGGAUUAACUGAACGCACACACACACACACACACACCCCUUUGAAGCAUCAACAGUAAUUCUGAGUUCUUAGGGACAAUGCAGAUUAAAUCCACAAUAAGAAAGACAACUAUGGCCAGGUGCGGUGGCUCACGCCUGUAAUCCCAGAACUUUGGGAGGCUGAGGCGGAUGGAUCACCUGAGGUCAGGAGUUAGAGACCAACCUGACCAACAUGGAGAAACCCCGUUUCUACUAAAAAUACAAAAUUAGCCGGGCAUGGUGGCAGGCGCCUGUAAUCCCAACUACUCAGGAGGCUGAGGCAGGAGAAUCGCUUAAACCCGGGAGGCAGAGGUUGCAGUGAGCCAAGAUCGCGCCAUUGCACUCCAGCCUGGGCAAGAAGAGCAAAACUCCAUCUCAAAAAAAAAAAAAAAAAAAGAGUACUAUUGAUCCAGAGGUGACCAGACUAGCCUCACUGGAGAUAAUAGGUGACAUUAUUAUGCAAAGUGGUUUCAGUUCCCUUGUCUUGUUUUUGGAAUAGUAUAAGAGGCCUACAAUACGAAUAAAUAAGGCC
rnacentral:antisense_RNA from 1 species